GCCCAGUUAUUUCAACUCUGCUAAAGAAUCAUGUGACAUUCACAUGCAUACUUCCAUACCUAGAAAAAUGAUUGGAAGGAUAUGAACCAACACAUUCAGUGAUUGGUGCAAAUGGAAUCUGGGAUGCCCUCCCCAUACCCAUGUAUUAAAAAUUGAUCUUUAAAGUUAAGGUUCACAUGUUCCCACCAUGAUAUUUUACAUCACCAUGGGCCUAAAAACUUGCUGCUCAACUUUUCAUGGACGGAGACAUCGAAAACCGUGAGCCAAAACAUACCUUUCCUCUUUACCUGGAAGAACCACACUAUUGGCAAAUGAAUCGGAUUAAGAUUGGAACGGGUGGCUGUAGGCGGAAAGAGCGGCGCGUGCUUCUGGGGCCCUGGAGAGGAAGGACGGAGUCACAGGAGGGGCUGAGCUGCA